rnacentral:rRNA from 1 species
CGGACGGGUGAGUAACGCGUGAGAACCUGCCUCUAAGUCGGGGACAACAGUUGGAAACGACUGCUAAUACCGGAUGAGCCGUAUUGGUAAAAGAUUUAUCGCUUAGAGAGGGGCUCGCGUCUGAUUAGCUAGAUGGUAGUGUAAAAGACAACCAUGGCGACGAUCAGUAGCUGGUCUGAGAGGAUGAUCAGCCACACUGGGACUGAGACACGGCCCAGACUCCUACGGGAGGCAGCAGUGGGGAAUUUUCCGCAAUGGGCGAAAGCCUGACGGAGCAAUACCGCGUGAGGGAGGAAGGCUCUUGGGUUGUAAACCUCAAAACUUAGGGAAGAAAAAAAUGACGGUACCUAAUAUAAGCAUCGGCUAACUCCGUGCCAGCAGCCGCGGUAAUACGGAGGAUGCAAGCGUUAUCCGGAAUCAUUGGGCGUAAAGAGUCCGUAGGUGGCACAUCAAGUCUGCUUUUAAAGACCGAAGCUCAACUUCGGAAAGGGAGUGGAAACUGAAGAGCUAGAGUAUAGUAGGGGUAGAGGGAAUUCCUAGUGUAGCGGUGAAAUGCGUAGAGAUUAGGAAGAACACCAGUGGCGAAGGCGCUCUACUGGGCAUAUACUGACACUGAGGGACGAAAGCUAGGGGAGCAAAUGGGAUUAGAUACCCCAGUAGUC